GAUGAAGAACGUAGCGAAAUGCGAUAAGUAGUGUGAAUUGCAGAAUUCAGUGAAUCAUCGAAUCUUUGAACGCACAUUGCGCCCCUUGGUAUUCCAUGGGGCAUGCCUGUUCGAGCGUCAUUUGUACCUUCAAGCUUUGCUUGGUGUUGGGUGUUUGUCUCGCCUUUGCGUGUAGACUCGCCUUAAAAUAAUUGGCAGCCGGCGUAUUGAUUUCGGAGCGCAGUACAUCUCGCGCUUUGCACUCAUAACGACAGCGUCCAAAAGUACAUUUUACACUCUUGACCUCGGAUCAGGUAGGGAUACCCGCUGAACUUAAGCAUAUCAAUAAGCAGAGGA
rnacentral:misc_RNA from 1 species